GCAGGAGUGGCGGAACGGCAGACGCGCACGGUUCAGGUCCGUGUGAUGGCAACAUCGUGAGGGUUCAAAUCCCUUUUCCUGCA
rnacentral:tRNA from 1 species